rnacentral:rRNA from 1 species
GACGAACGCUGGCGGCGUGCUUAACACAUGCAAGUCGAACGGUGAACUCCGCUUGCGGGGGGAUCAGUGGCGAACGGGUGAGUAACACGUGGGCAACCUGCCCUCAGCUCUGGGAUAACUCCAAGAAAUUGGGGCUAAUACCGGAUAUGACCGCUGACCGCAUGGUCUGGUGGUGGAAAGAUUUAUCGGCUGGGGAUGGGCCCGCGGCCUAUCAGCUUGUUGGUGGGGUAGUGGCCUACCAAGGCGACGACGGGUAGCCGGCCUGAGAGGGUGACCGGCCACACUGGGACUGAGACACGGCCCAGACUCCUACGGGAGGCAGCAGUGGGGAAUAUUGCGCAAUGGGCGAAAGCCUGACGCAGCGGCGCCGCGUGGGGGACGACGGCCUUCGGGUUGUAAACCUCUUUCAGCAGGGACGAAGCGAAAGUGACGGUACCUGCAGAAGAAGCACCGGCCAACUACGUG